GAUGAACGCUGGCGGCGUGCCUAAUACAUGCAAGUCGAGCGAACAGAUGAGGAGCUUGCUCCUCUGACGUUAGCGGCGGACGGGUGAGUAACACGUGGAUAACCUACCUAUAAGACUGGGAUAACUUCGGGAAACCGGAGCUAAUACCGGAUAAUAUAUUGAACCGCAUGGUUCAAGAGUGAAAGACGGUUUUGCUGUCACUUAUAGCUGGAUCCGCGCCGCAUUAGCUAGUUGGUAAGGUAACGGCUUACCAAGGCAACGAUGCGUAGCCGACCUGAGAGGGUGAUCGGCCACACUGGAACUGAGACACGGUCCAGACUCCUACGGGAGGCAGCAGUAGGGAAUAUUCCGCAAUGGGCGAAAGCCUGACGGAGCCACGCCGCGUGAGUGAUGAAGGUCUUCGGAUCGUAAAACUCUGUUAUUAGGGAAGAACAAAUGUGUAAGUAACUAUGCACGUCUUGACGGUACCUAAUCAGAAAGCCACGGCUAACUUCGUG
rnacentral:rRNA from 1 species